rnacentral:rRNA from 1 species
GACGAACGCUGGCGGCGUGCCUAAUACAUGCAAGUUGAGCGAUGAAGAUUGGUGCUUGCACCAAUUUGAAGAGCAGCGAACGGGUGAGUAACGCGUGGGGAAUCUGCCUUUGAGCGGGGGACAACAUUUGGAAACGAAUGCUAAUACCGCAUAACAACUUUAAACAUAAGUUUUAAGUUUGAAAGAUGCAAUUGCAUCACUCAAAGAUGAUCCCGCGUUGUAUUAGCUAGUUGGUGAGGUAAAGGCUCACCAAGGCGAUGAUACAUAGCCGACCUGAGAGGGUGAUCGGCGACAUUGGGACUGAGACACGGCCCAAACUCCUACGGGAGGCAGCAGUAGGGAAUCUUCGGCAAUGGACGAAAGUCUGGCCGAGCAACGCCGCGUGAGUGAAGAAGGUUGUCGGAUCGUAAAACUCUGUUGGUAGAGAAGAACGUUGGUGAGAGUGGAAAGCUCAUCAAGUGACGGUAACUACCCAGAAAGGGACGGCUAACUACGUG